CAGGGGUUAGUUUAUAAAAACACCAAACUUGGGUUUUGGUAAUACCUAAUAGGUACCUCUGG
rnacentral:tRNA from 1 species